UCAUCAUUUCCGUCCAGUAAAAAUCUUCCUCAAUUCCACAUCAUUUUUUUUAUAAUCAUCUUGGGCUUUUUAAAUGCCCAUCUUGAUAUUUUUAAUUCAUGGGCUUUUUAAUUAUUUUGUUUAUAAUCAUAAACCCCAAACAUGGUGGGUUUUGUUGAAAUAGGCUUUGGGUUUUGCCUUCUGAUCGAUGAAAUAGGCUCUUCCGGGUUGCUUGAUCUUCCUCCAUUCCCAAAUCCAUGGUGUUUACCUAGACAAGAAAUCCAGGUGAGAAAUUCAACCUCCUUUGAGUUCUACGUUUCCUUUCAGUGACACUAUAUCACUUGAUAUGAUCAAGGAUCUGCUCGAUUUUGAGCUUUUUAUGGUAGAGUAUAGCAACUUCUAGAACUUUAAAAUUUGAGAAAUCGUUAUGGACUUGUUUGUGGUUCAAUUACAAUUUGCAGCUAGCUCUUGAGUAGGUUUGUGUAUUAGUUUGAUUUUUGAACAUUGGAGUUUUGGUGACGUUUUACUAAUUGGAAUCUCAAAGUAGUGUUUAUUUGCUUUGUUUGUUCACUUUGAGUCACGCAACAAGAAGGACGCUCCCAUUGUGAUUUGGUUGGUUGGAGGGCCUGGAUGUAGCAGUGAGUUGGCUAUGUUCUAUGAGAAUGGUCCUUUCAAGAUUAGUAAUAAAAUGUCUCUUUCUUGGAAUGAGUAUGGAUUAUUAUCGUUGUUUCGAUUUUUUAUGAUUAACAUCCAUCGCGUCGUUUUCAUCUUACUGAUGUGAUGCUACAUGUGCUGCGGAACAAGGAAAACAUGUAAUCUAAAACUAUUUUUAUUGAUUAUUCUUAUUCUAAAAACAAGAUAUGCCACAUGGAAUUUGAAUAAAGAGAAUUUACCUCAUGCAUGAUCUUUGUCUCCUCCACGAACAGAGAAACACCAAAGACGUAACUGGAGCCGUGCCAUCCAACUGAAACAUUUUUGGCUCAACAAUGUUCAUUUUUUGAAAUCAUAGAUUUUUUUAUUCAGCUUCUCAAUAGCAAAAGCUCUGUUUGAAUACCUCCAAAGUUUUAAAUUGAAUAGCUCCUUCGUUUUUUUGCUU